rnacentral:tRNA from 1 species
GCCAACAUAGCUCAGUUGGUAGAGCAACUGUUUCGUAAAUAGUAGGUCAAGGGUUCGAGUCCCUUUGUUGGCUCCA